GGUUUCCUCACACUGGAGGAAUGAUUAACUAAUAAGACGCAAUUAAUUGAACUCUGUGAAUUUAUCCGCUUCGAUGGAUUGUCACUUUUGGACCGUAAUGGCAGUUUAUGUGUCAAGAACAGCGCUGCGAUAAGGAGAGGUAAGGAACUAACUUCAAAUCAUCCGCCCCCUUAGAAAAACAGACUAUGGCAUGUGUGGUAUGGUCCUCAGAACUUUCUCUAGCUGCAUACUGAUUAUUUAUUAUUUAGGGAAAAUGCCUGUCGUUUGCUUGCCCAUCAAGUUUUAAACGUUUUUUUUUUUUAUCCUUUAAAAACAAACAAACAGUGAAACUAUCACUUUGUAAACUGUCACUGUAUGUUUGUGUGUGAGAGCACGAUCCCCAGUGUUACACUAAUACCCUAUUACUAAACUAUAGCCUAACUCUUAAAAGUUAGCCCUCUGUGUAUAUAUUUGGUAUGUUGUCUAUUAUAUCAAAAGCCUGAAUUGAAGAUGCAGAGCCAUUAAGAUGAUUACUGAUACAUGAAGUUUCAUUUAAGCACAAAUGGUUUGUCUCAAAUGACUUUGCCUCACUUACGAGGAGCACAUGGACGAGGAGGUGGACGGCAGUGGGAAGGAAGAACAGAAUGCUGAUGACCCUGCUCUUCCUUGUGCCAGCCUUGUGGCACAGAACCAGCCUCAGCACCACCAUGAGCUCUACACACAAGACCAGGACCUUCCCAUCAUGCACUGGGAGGAUUUGAGUUUGCGAAUAGCCGAGCUUGAGAAACAGGAGGAAGAGAGGAGGAAAAGAGCUGAGUCCAUGGGUUUAACAGACCAAGAACCAGUGCCAGGACCCUGGCCUCAUGUAAAGCACCAGUCACUUAACAGAAAGCAGUGGGAAGAUGCAGGUGAUCUUGGAGGACAUCGUUUUCCAUGCAUUACAUCUCGGUUUAACACUCCUAAAAACCUGCAGCUGUGUUUUAUCAACGAUAGUGAGAGCGAUCAAGAGGGUGAUGAAGGGGCAUCCUUCAGAGAGAGGCCACAUGAUUCACAGGGACAGGGGCGACAAUCUGCCGGCCUGAAACAGGAAGUCAGAGCAGCUCUGAAUGAGCUCCGAGAUAAGCUUUGGGCUGAGCAGGGGCAGCAACAGCAGCCGAGCCACAAGGACGUGAGCUUUAGGAGAAGAAAGCUUAGCCACAGUGACCUGCAAACCUGCUCUGUGCUUCAGCUAAAUGCUCUCAGGACUUCCCUCCAUGAAGACAUUCAGGAUCUGAGCUCAGAAUUAGUGAAGCAUCUGGUGGUGAGGGACAAUCUACGGACAAAGCAAGAUGCCAUGCUCCUGGAUGUUGUGGGUGAGCCUGGAACCUAUCCCAGGGAACUCGGGGCACAAGGCAGGGGACACCCUGGAGGGGUGCCAUCCCAUCACAGGACACAAUCGCACACACAGACACACUACGGCCAAUUUGGAAAUGCAAAUCAGCCUACAACACAUGUCUUUGAACUGUGGGAGGAAGCUGGAGUACCCAGAGGAAACCUCCGAAGUACGGGGAGAACAUGUGGAGUGGAGGUGAGAGGUGCAAGCCAAACAUAAAACUUGCAUAAAGUGCAAGUUUUGUUAAUCAUGUAGCCUAUGCAAUGACACCCAGUGUACUAACAGUUGCAAACGUUUUUAUUUUUAUUAUUAUUAUUUAAAUUUUUGUAAUAACCUUUACCUUCCUUUUAAUUCAAGAACCUUUAAACAAGAAGGAACAUUAACCUUGCAUUCUUGGCAG
ensembl:lncRNA